GUAGGAGGCAAGCGUUAUCCGGAUUCACUGGGCGUAAAGCGCGUGCAGGCGGUGCGGUAAGUUAGGCGUGAAAUCUCCCGGCUCAACUGGGAGAGGUCGUCUAAUACUACCGUACUAGAGAGCAGAAGAGGAAGAUGGAAUUCCCGGUGUAGUGGUGAAAUGCGUAGAUAUCGGGAGGAACACCAGUGGCGAAGGCGAUCUUCUGGUCUGUUUCUGACGCUCAGACGCGACAGCUAGGGUAGUAAACGGGAUUAGAGACCCCGGUAAUCCUAGCCGUAAACGAUGUGAACUUGGCGUUGGUGGGUUAAACUCCAUCAGUGCCGUAGCAAACGCGAUAAGUUCACCGCCUGGGGACUACGGCCGCAAGGUUA
rnacentral:rRNA from 1 species